UUAAAUAAUUAAAUUCUUAAAUCAAAAAAAUAGAAUAAUUAAUAAGAUUAAAAAUUAAAAAUUUAUUCUUAUCUUAUCAUAAAUGAUUUAUCUUAAAAUGAAUUGAAACAUCUUAGUAAUUUAAUUAAAAAAUAAUUGAAAGUAAAGGCGAUUGAAAUCCAAUUAAACCUUUUUUUUUGAUUUUACAAAAAAUUUUUUAAUAAUUAUAUCUAUAGAAUAAGUACUGUGAAGGAAAUUAAUUAAUGAUUUAAAUUUAAAAAUGAGAUUCAUAUACCUUUUGUAUAAUGGGCUUAUAAAUAUAUGAUUAGCAAGCUAUAAGGCUAUAAAACUAACUAAGUUAAUCAUUCCCGAAACUUAGCGAUCUAAUUGUGAAUAAUUUUAUGAAUCAACUAAUAAAUGAUAAAAAUUUUUAGAAAAUUUGCAAUUAGCAGUGAAAAACUAAUCGAGCUAAGAUAUAGCUGGUUUUUCAUGAAAUUUAUAUAAGUAAAAAAUUUUUUUUAAAAAGACAGUUAUUUAGUGCAAAGAUUAAAUAACAAAUAAAAAACAAUUUUAUCCAACAUAAAUGAACUUUUUAAAUUUUUCAAAAAAAAAUUUAUGAUUAAAACAAAAAGUAAAUAAGCUUAGAAUCAGCUAUAUUUUAAAAAGUACGUAAAAUUUUACUUUAAAAAAAUUAUAAUUUAAUAAUAAAGUCAAUUAUUAUCAUUUUUGUGGAAAAUAGUAAUGAAAUUUUCUUUUAUCUAUAACGAAAGUUUUAAAGAAGUAAUAAUAUAAGCAUUAGUAAAAUUAAAUUUAUCCUUUUGUUUUCUUAAUUUAAUAAAUGAUUAAGGUUAUUCAAUUUCUCAAUUAACAAGGAAUUUUUUAAAAAAAUAUACAAGAAAAUUUUAAAAAAAAAAUUGUAAGAUCUAAAUCAAGUUAGGAUAAAUAAUAAAAUAAAUUUUUUUUAAGGAACUCGGCAAAAUAAAAUAUCGACUGUUUAUCAAAAACAUAGCUUUUUAAAAUAUAAAAAGUGAAGCCUGCCCAAUGGUAUAAAAAUAAUUAUAAUAUAAUUUAAAUAAUAUUAAAUGGAUGCGGUAACUCUGACUGUAAUAAAGUAGCAUAAUUAAUUGUCACUUAAUUGGUGGAGAGAAUGAAUGGUUAUACGAAUUUUUCACUGUCUUCGAAAGAAAUUUUUUAAAAUUGAAAUAAUAGUAAAGAUGCUAUUUAAAAUUGUAAGACGAAGAGACCCUAUAGAGCUUUACUAUAAACUUUUUGAAUUAAAAAUAAUAUAAACUUAUUUAUUUAAAAAAGUUUGGUAGUUUAGUUGGGGCGACUGUUUUUUAAAUAAAACAAAAACAUGCAAAGUAAUAAAUUUAUUUAUUGUAUAAUUAAAAUAUUUAACAAUUAUUAUAGUAGGCUAUAGUGACCCGUUAACUUAAUAAAAUUUAGUUAACGAUUAAUUGAUAAAAGUUACCUUAGGGAUAACAGGAUAAUUUUGUUUUAGAGUUCUUAUCAAAUACAAAGUUUGUCACCUCUAUGUUGAAUUAAGAUAUCCUAAUAAUGCAGUAGUUAUUAAAGGUAGGUCUGUUCGACCUUUAAAAUCUUACAUGAUUUGAGUUCAUUCCGUCGUGAGACAGGAAGGUUUCUAUCUACAAUUAUGAAAAUCAUAUUAAACUUUUAGUACGAAAGGAAUAAAGUUUUUUUAGUUAAUUAGAUAAACUAUUAUAAAAAUUUUGAAAGAAUCUAAAAAUUUAAAUAUGAUUAUUUAAA
rnacentral:rRNA from 1 species